rnacentral:rRNA from 1 species
AACGAACGCUGGCGGCAUGCCUAACACAUGCAAGUCGAACGAGACCUUCGGGUCUAGUGGCGCACGGGUGCGUAACGCGUGGGAAUUUGCCCUUGGGUUCGGAAUACCAGUUGGACACGACUGCUAAUACCGGAUGAUGUCUUCGGACCAAAGAUUUAUCGCCCAGGGAUGAGCCCGCGUAGGAUUAGCUUGUUGGUGAGGUAAAGGCUCACCAAGGCGACGAUCCUUAGCUGGUCUGAGAGGAUGAUCAGCCACACUGGGACUGAGACACGGCCCAGACUCCUACGGGAGGCAGCAGUGGGGAAUAUUGGACAAUGGGUGAAAGCCUGAUCCAGCAAUGCCGCGUGAGUGAUGAAGGCCUUAGGGUUGUAAAGCUCUUUUACCCGGGAUGAUAAUGACAGUACCGGGAGAAUAAGCCCCGGCUAACUCCGUGCCAGCAGCCGCGGUAA